UGGCUUAGAAGCAGCCAUCAUUUAAAGAAAGCGUAAUAGCUCACUGGUCGAGUCGUCCUGCGCGGAAGAUGUAACGGGGCUCAAAUCUAUAACCGAAGCUGCGGAUGCUAGUUUACUAGCAUGGUAGGGGAGCGUUCUGUAGGCCGAUGAAGGUGCAUUGUAAAGUGUGCUGGAGGUAUCAGAAGUGCGAAUGUUGACAUGAGUAGCGAUAAAGCGGGUGAAAAGCCCGCUCGCCGAAAGCCCAAGGUUUCCUACGCAACGUUCAUCGGCGUAGGGUGAGUCGGCCCCUAAGGCGAGGCAGAAAUGCGUAGUCGAUGGGAAACAGGUUAAUAUUCCUGUACUUGAUUCAAAUGCGAUGUGGGGACGGAGAAGGUUAGGUUAGCAAGCUGUUGGAAUAGCUUGUUUAAGCCGGUAGGUGGAAGACUUAGGCAAAUCCGGGUCUUCUUAACACCGAGAAGUGAUGACGAGUGUCUACGGACAUGAAGUAACCGAUACCACGCUUCCAGGAAAAGCCACUAAGCUUCAGUUUGAAUUGAACCGUACCGCAAACCGACACAGGUGGGCAGGAUGAGAAUUCUAAGGCGCUUGAGAGAACUCGGGAGAAGGAACUCGGCAAAUUGAUACCGUAACUUCGGGAGAAGGUAUGCCCUCUAAGGUUAAGGACUUGCUCCGUAAGCCCUGGAGGGUCGCAGAGAAUAGGUGGCUGCGACUGUUUAUUAAAAACACAGCACUCUGCUAACACGAAAGUGGACGUAUAGGGUGUGACGCCUGCCCGGUGCUGGAAGGUUAAUUGAAGAUGUGAGAGCAUCGGAUCGAAGCCCCAGUAAACGGCGGCCGUAACUAUAACGGUCCUAAGGUAGCGAAAUUCCUUGUCGGGUAAGUUCCGACCCGCACGAAUGGCGUAACGAUGGCCACACUGUCUCCUCCCGAGACUCAGCGAAGUUGAAGUGGUUGUGAAGAUGCAAUCUACCCGCUGCUAGACGGAAAGACCCCGUGAACCUUUACUGUAGCUUUGCAUUGGACUUUGAAGUCACUUGUGUAGGAUAGGUGGGAGGCUUUGAAGCAGAGACGCCAGUCUCUGUGGAGCCGUCCUUGAAAUACCACCCUGGUGUCUUUGAGGUUCUAACCCAGACCCGUAAUCCGGGUCGGGGACCGUGCAUGGUAGGCAGUUUGACUGGGGCGGUCUCCUCCCAAAGAGUAACGGAGGAGUUCGAAGGUUACCUAGGUCCGGUCGGAAAUCGGACUGAUAGUGCAAUGGCAAAAGGUAGCUUAACUGCGAGACCGACAAGUCGAGCAGGUGCGAAAGCAGGACAUAGUGAUCCGGUGGUUCUGUAUGGAAGGGCCAUCGCUCAACGGAUAAAAGGUACUCCGGGGAUAACAGGCUGAUUCCGCCCAAGAGUUCAUAUCGACGGCGGAGUUUGGCACCUCGAUGUCGGCUCAUCACAUCCUGGGGCUGUAGUCGGUCCCAAGGGUAUGGCUGUUCGCCAUUUAAAGUGGUACGUGAGCUGGGUUUAAAACGUCGUGAGACAGUUUGGUCCCUAUCUGCAGUGGGCGUUGGAAGUUUGACGGGGGCUGCUCCUAGUACGAGAGGACCGGAGUGGACGAACCUCUGGUGUACCGGUUGUAACGCCAGUUGCAUAGCCGGGUAGCUAAGUUCGGAAGAGAUAAGCGCUGAAAGCAUCUAAGCGCGAAACUCGCCUGAAGAUGAGACUUCCCUUGCGGUUUAACCGCACUAAAGAGUCGUUCGAGACCAGGACGUUGAUAGGUGGGGUGUGGAAGCGCGGUAACGCGUGAAGCUAACCCAUACUAAUUGCUCGUGAGGCUUGACU
rnacentral:rRNA from 1 species